ensembl:lncRNA
UGCUAAUCCUAUACUGUUGCUUUAAGGCUAAGAAAAAAAAAAUCUCAAAUGAAUAUUCCUUAUGUCAGGAUCAAGUUCUUACUAAACACCAUGGCAUUCAAGUUUUCCAUAAGUUUCAUUUAUCUUUAAAAAGAUUCAAAUUCUUUUAGUAUUUCCCAAUCUUAUUUUUAAAGGCUUUGCUCAUGUUUUAUAUCUACAAACUCAUCUGGUUGUCAAAAUAAAUGGACUGUUCUCCUUUCAAAGUUCAGUCUGGGCCAUCACUCCAACUAGAACCGUCUUUGGAUCACUAUAUUUAAAUUGCUCUAAAUAUAUAUUCUGAGAAAUUUAUUUUAAUUAAAUUAAUACUAACUUUUAAUUAUUUCUGUCAUAUUUAUAAAUAGAUUGCUAUCUACUGGAAAACAAGAAUCAGGUUGUGCCACAACAAUAAAAGCCACUAUGAUUCCUUAUGAGUACUCAUUAUGACCAGGGCAUGUGAGAUUUUUAGCUCCUUGACCAGGGAUUGAACCCACACCUCCUGCAUUGGAAGGCAAAGUCUUAACCACUGGACCAUCAUGGAAGAUCCCCUCCCUGCAGUUGUGUAUUUCCACAUCAUCAAGUCUACAACUCCAGAUUGUUUUUACUGCUUCUUGUGCCAGACAUUGUGUUACUGAUCCUCUCCAGUUGGGUGGACUCCAACCUUGCCUGGAGCUGCAAGUGCCAGUUGAAUGAGUGGGCAGAGAGGAGCAGAAACUGUAUUUGCUGAUUGAAGAAUGGGAAUGAGAGCAUGCUGUAAAGACACCUUCUCCCCAAAGGGAGGAAAGUUGGGGAGGUUUUGAGAGGUAAGGGGAACAUAUGUCUCUGGGGAAAAGGGUGGUGAUUUCCAGGAAUAGCUAACAUGUGUGCAGCCCCCUUGGUUCCCUCGGACACAGCACUGAUUGUGUCUAACAAGAUACACAUCCCCUCUUUGGACUGAGAUCUUGGCGUGGUAAUGAAGCUAAGGCAACUUUCAGACCCUUCUUGAUUUCCUCAACGUAGGCACCGCUCCUGCAGUUAGAUUGAAACUGGUUCAGGGUGGUUGACUGUCAUGUUUCCUUUGAGGUGUAACUAAGAAACAUCUUUGACAAGCAUCAUUUAUUUUGGAAGAAGAAUAGACAUAGGUUAAAGCAGAGACCUUUCAGCUCUCUGGGAGGUGUAUGGCUGAGAAUUGUACUUACUGGUAGGUAUGUAGCAGAGAAUAAACAGACUAGAUUCUGCCCACUGGAGCUUUAUAAUCCAGUGGAACAGUAAAAUAAAACAUUAAAUAAGUACUCAAAAUGGAGAUGCAGUUGCUGUGAAGGAAAACUGUGGGUUGCUGAGAAGGACAAUAAUAAGGAAAAAUAGUGUUAUUAGAUUAACAAAUAAAAAUACAGAAUGCCCAGGUAAACAUGAAUUUCAGAUAAACACUAAGAAACCUUUUAGCAUAAGUAUGAAGCAUUAAAAACUAUUUGAUCUUCAUCUAGAAUUCAAAUUUAACUAGCUGUCCUGUAUUUUAUCUGGCAGUUCCAGGGAAAGCACUGAUUUACGUGGGGCUGGUGAUACAAGAAAGGCCUCAUUGGAGAUGUGAUAAAUAAGCAACCAAAGAAUAAAGGAUCUGUAUAUUGACCAGUUGAAAAAUGGUGGAAAGAGAUUUCUAAGCCAAAGAAAUAGUAUGUGCAAAAUCCCUAAGGUAGGAAAGAGCUUGCCACAUAUAAGGCAUGGAAAUAAUGUUAGUGUGGCUACAGUGAGUAAAGAAGAGAAUGGCCUGGAACGGGAUCCCAGAGGUAGGCGGGGGGGACCAGACAGAGAGUAUGCUCACUCCAAGCACUGAUUUAAAAUUUUCACUUAUAAAAUAAUUUUCAAACCAUCUUACACAGAAGCUUACAGCACACAACAUGUAAGGUUGAAGCCACCCUGCUCGAGGGUGGGGAUGUGGGGUAUUUUGAAGGUCCGACCCCUCCACCUGCUUGAUAGUCUUCGCCCCCUUUUGUAGCCACCCUCAAUGGAACUAAAUGCUGUGAGAUAUUAGACCAGAAUGUUCCCUGGAAAUUGAUACUCGGGGAGGAGAAAUAAUUUAUUAUGGUUUAGUGUUCAUUCUCAAAGCCUCAGUUCUAAAAAUUCACUGGCUAGCCAUGGGAGGCUUCUAAAAUUUCAUCUCUCCAAUUAAAAUAAUUUGAACUGCAGAAAAUCAAUUUAGCACUUUGUGUUUGCAUUGAUCAGAGU